AUGGCGUCCUCAUUUUGGACCUGUGGUGUGUCCCACGGUGUACCUUUUUGCCCCACUUCCAGUGGCAAGAGGGACUGGGCGAAAGAGUCUUUGUUAGCAGUUGUCGCAGAGACUUACCAGAGCGCUUGCUUCAGGGGGCUUAAACUGAAGCACGCUGUGCCAGCCACCUUGGUGUUGAACAGUUCAUCUGACAGGCACGUCCCUGGCGGCCUGGAGCGCUUCUAGGGCGGGGGGGGGGGGGGGGGGGGGGCUCCACGCACUGCGGCCCUUCCAAGUAGGUGACCUCAUCUUCUCCUGCCCAUCCUACGUCUGUAUGCUUACUGUGGGCGAGCGGGGCCACCACUGCGAGUGCUGCUUCGCCAGGAAAGAAGGAUGGUCAAAAUGUGGACGGUGCAAGCAGGCAUUCUACUGCGACCUGGAAUGUCAGAAAGAAGACUGGCCUCUGCACAAGUUGGAAUGCUUGUCCAUGGUUGUUUUUGGAGAGAACUGGAGUCCUUCAGAGACUGUGCCACUCACAGCAAGGAUUCUGGCCAAACAGAAAAUCCACCCAGAGAGGACACCUUCAGAGAAACUGUUGGCUGUGAGGGAGUUUGAGUCACAUCUGGACAAGCUAGAUAAUGAGAAGAAGGAUCUCAUCCAGAGUGACAUCGAGGCUCUCCGUCAGUUCUACUCCAAGCACCUGGAAUUCCCUGACCACAGCAGUCUUGUGGUGCUCUUCGCCCAGGUGAACUGUAAUGGCUUCACUAUUGAAGAUGAAGCGCUCACUCAUUUGGGAUCAGCGAUAUUUCCUGAUGUUGCAUUGAUGCAUUACAACUGCUGCCCGAAUGUCAUUGUGACCUACAAAGGGACCCUGGCAGAAGUCAGAGCUGUACAGGAAGGAGAUCCACCCGGGAGACAAGGUGUUCACCAGCUAUAUCGAUCUGCUGUAUCCAACAGAAGACAGAAACGACUGGCUAAGAGACUUGUAUUUCUUUACCUGUGAGUGCCAGGAGUGUACAACCAAGGACAAGGACAAAGCCAAGGUGGAAAUCCGAAAGCUCAGCCGCCCACCACAGGCAGAAGCCGUCAGAGACAUGGUCAGAUAUGCUCGCAGUGUCAUCAAGGAGUUCCGAAGGGCCAAGCACUACAAAUCCCUGAGUAAACUGCUGCAGAUCUGUGAGCUCAGCCAGGAGAAGGUGAGCUCUGUGUUCGAGGACAGCAAUGUGUACAUGCUGCACAUGGUGUACCAGGCCAUGGGUGUCUGCCUGUACACACAGGACUGGGAAGGAGACCUGAGAUACGGGCAGAAGAUCAUCAAGCCGUACAGUAAGCACUAUCCUGUGUACUCCCUCAAUGUGGCCUCCCUGUGGCUGAAACUGGGAAGACUGUACAUGGGUCUGAAGAACAGGGCUCGGGAGAGAAAGCCUUCAAGACGGCCAUUGGCAUCAUGGAAGUAGCUCACGGCAAGGACCAUCCGUACAUCUCUACGAUCAAGCAGGAAAUUGAGAGCCACUGACUGUGCAUCCCAGCUCUCCAUCAGAAACCUCACAGGACUUGAAUAUUUCCAACCUCACGGGUCACCCCAGCCUUCUGCAAAGCCUUGCCGAGCUGUGUUUCAGGUCCACACUCAGUUCUGACCUUAAGUUCAUUUCCAGUGCUUGUCUUUUCUCUAAGGGCCAUGGCAUGAUUUCACAUAAUAUAUAUUUUGGGCAGAUUGAGCUUUGAAAAAAAUGCAACGAUUUUCCCUCUGUGCCUGUUGGAACGCUCUGCAGAGCUGACCAAGGAGAGAAUAAAAACACCAGUCCUUGAAAAAAAAAA